UGAGCUGGGCUUUGCAGGGGAAGACCGUGGAUCUCCCUUUCAUGCCUCGCAUCACUAACUGGAACAUCUCUAGAACCACGUUUUCUGAUUCUGAAAGACAAGAAAGGAUAUGUUCAAUGCAGAGCUAAGGGUGCACCAGCUGUAAGAGCCCAAGCUCCAGACAUACGGGUCCUGUGAAGGCACACAGGACAGGCAUUAUGGGAUGCUUAACAGGUUUCUUGCUGUGGAGUCUAAGAUGGCCUAAAACAACCUCAGCUGCCCCAGUAUUGAGAGGGGUGGUGCCACCACACCCAGCUUGUUUCAUCUUCUGACAUAAAGACCUUCACUGCAUCCCAGGAAGGAUUCAAGUAGCCUCUGGUACUCUGGAGAAGACCCAUCAGAGUACCUGGUGAAGGCAUAUGACAAGAUGCAGGGCUGACUUUUCUGCAGUUUUCCCUCUAACUGGAGACUUGAAUAUCUUAUCACAGUUGGGUGUAGUGAUGCAUGCCUUUAAUCCCAGUACUGGGAACUGGGAAGGAUGAAGUAGGAGGGCAGCAUGAGUUCCAGACCAGCCUGGGCU